rnacentral:tRNA from 1 species
AGUACUACGCCGGAUGAACGGAAAUCAUUGAUGUUGAUUAUUAUGAGGGUUUAAUACCUCUAGUGCUA